AUGGUGGUCGGUUUCCGCCGCACGAUCUCGUUCCCCGCGCCCAAGUCCGCGCCGGCGGCGGGGUCGAACGGGAAGUCCGCGGCCGGCUACCGCGUCCGCUCGGCCAGCCUGCCCUGCCGGUUCCACCCGCUGGUGCUCCAGCUCGACGAAGACGUCGCGGCCCUGCGCGAUCUGGCGGGGGGCCUGGCGUCGGCCGCGACGGCGCGCUCGAUCACGGAGGCCGCGGAGCAGCUGGGGCGGGUCCUGGUGUCGCUCUCCGAGCUGCUCCACCACCCGCAGGCCCAGGAGCCGCUGCGGCGGCUCGGCCGGUCGCCGUUCGCGGAGCGGCUGCUCGACGACUUCCUCCGCCUGGCCGACGCGCACGGCAGCUUCCGCGACGUGCUGGUCGCGCUCACCGCGCUCCAGGCCGAGGCGCGCGCGGCGCUGCGGCGCGAGGACCCGGCGCGCCUGGCGUCCGCCGCGCGCGGGCUCCGUCGGUCCGGCCGCGACCUCCCGCGGAUCGCCUCCUCCGCCCGCGCCGUGGCCGGCAAGGCGCCGCCUCCCGCGCCCGCGGGCCUCCCGUCGGACGCGGCCGCUCUCGCCGCCGCCAUCGUCGACGCGGCGGCGGCCGUCGCGUCCGCCUCGGCCGCGGUCUUCUCCGGCGUGUCCGCCCUGUCCAUUGCCGCCGCCACGGCCCGCGUCGACGUCGUCAGCGCGCCGUGCUGGAUGCCCUCGCCCGCAAGGUUCGCCUCCUCGUCGGCCGCGCCGAGAACCGGCCACCACAUCGUCACCACCAAGCCCUCGUCCAUGCGCAUAUGGUGGGUCGCCGACCUGAUGCGCUGGAUGUCGCGCGCGAAGCGCCGGUCGGCGAGCAAGCAGCACGCCGACGACGGCUGCUCCGCCAAGCAGCCCCAGCCCGACGCGGCCCUGGUCGACCUAGACCCGGAGGAGGAGGACAGGAAGGCGGCGUUUGAGCGCAUGGACAACCUCGGGCGGUGCGUCGCGGACGUGGAGAGCAGCGGCGAGAACGUCUUCCGGGCCCUGGUCAACACGAGAGUCUCCCUGCUCAACAUUCUCAGCCCAAGCUUCUGA
rnacentral:rRNA from 1 species